CCCUAUAUAAAAAUUGCAUUGUUCACUUGCUCCAAAUUCUAGGAUCAAAUUCAGUUUACACUAAACACACAAACACACACACACACAGAGAUAUAGAGAGAGAGACAUGAGUACUCUUUAUUGCAGAAAGGUUAUCUGCAAUGAACACUAUUGGAAAGGACCCCUUACGAGUGCGGAAUACGGAUCCCUCGCCCAAGAUCGC
rnacentral:lncRNA from 1 species